GUUUGCUGUGUGUGUGAUUCCAGGGCAAGUGUCUGGCUGCGAGGAGGUGCUCUGAGAAGGAAUCAGGCAACUCUAGGCAGCGAGUUCCCUGUCCGCAGAGGUAUUCAAGAGAACAGAGGCAACCCGGGAAUGGAGAGCAAUGGGAUUGGACAAGAUGUGCUCUAAUAUUCUACCCAGCCGGAGAUCCUGUGACUCUUGCCCAAGAGAACUGACCCUUGGAGCUGUUACGCGACAGAGAACUUUCUAUCCCAUUUUGAGUCUCC